UACGGGGGGGGCAAGCGUUGUUCGGAAUUACUGGGCGUAAAGGGCGCGUAGGCGGGCGGGCAAGUCCCUCGUGAAAGCCCACGGCUCAACCGUGGAAUUGCGGGGGAAACUGCUCGUCUUGAGUCCGGGAGAGGAGUGUGGAAUUCCCAGUGUAGCGGUGAAAUGCGUAGAUACUGGGAGGAACACCGGUGGCGAAGGCGGCACUCUGGCCCGGAACUGACGCUGAGGCGCGAAAGCUAGGGGAGCAAACGGG
rnacentral:rRNA from 1 species